AUUGAACGCUGGCGGCAGGCCUAACACAUGCAAGUCGAACGAGUGGCGGACGGGUGAGUAAUGUCUGGGAAACUGCCCGAUGGAGGGGGAUAACUACUGGAAACGGUAGCUAAUACCGCAUACCAUCGGAUGUUCCCAGAUGGGAUUAGCUAGUAGGGGGGGUAACGGCUCACCUAGGCGACGAUCCCUAGCUGGUCUGAGAGGAUGACCGGCCAUACGGGAACUGUGACACGGUCCAGACUCCGACGGGAGGGAGCAGUGGGUAAGAGUGCACAAGGGGCGCAAGCCUGAUGCAGCCAUGCCGCGUGUAUGAAGAAGGCCUUCGGGUUGUAAAGUACUUUCAGCGAGGAUGCGUUACUCGAAGAAGAAGCAUCGGCUAACUCCGUGACAGCAGCCGCGGUAAUUC
rnacentral:rRNA from 1 species